GUCCCUGUAGCUCAGCUGGACAGAGCGGCUGCCUUCUAAGCAGCGGGUCGAGGGUUCGAAUCCCUCCAGGGACU
rnacentral:tRNA from 1 species